AACUAAUAAAGAGGCCGAAACCUCUUCCUUUCAUGCAUGAGUUUCCUUCGGCCGAAACACGAAGGGAGAAGUGGACGGUAGAGGCGACGCAAGGCUUGGGGCGGCGGCUCCGGCAGCAGUUUCUGGCGGCCAUUCCUUGGGAAAAUUUGUAGAGGGAGGUUCAAAGGAUAAUAAGGAAAAACUGAUAGAAAUUGAUGGCAAUAGGAAAGUUUACCUACCAUCGUAGAGGUUCAAAGGAUGUCAGAUUUUUAUAUUUUUGUUACGAAUUGAGUCAGUUGAUUUAUUGUGGAGUUAAAUGAUGUAUUGUAUUUAUGUCUUAAGUGAUUGUAAGUUUUGGUGAAUUUUGGAAAUUUUCAAUUUGAAUAUUUAGUGGCUCUUUCUUACGUUGUUCUUGGAUGAUGUUUAUGUUUAUAUUAUUUAUGAAAUGAAAUUGUUAUGAUUUGAAUGUUA